GGGUAGAAGGAGCUUGCUCCUUUGAGACCGGCGCACGGGUGCGUAACGCGUAUGCAAUCUACCUUGUACAGGGGAAUAGCCCAGAGAAAUUUGGAUUAAUGCCCCAUAGUAUAUAACCUUCGCAUGUUGGUUAUAUUAAAGUUCCAACGGUACAAGAUGAGCAUGCGUCCCAUUAGUUAGUUGGUAAGGUAACGGCUUACCAAGACGAUGAUGGGUAGGGGUCCUGAGAGGGAGAUCCCCCACACUGGUACUGAGACACGGACCAGACUCCUACGGGAGGCAGCAGUGAGGAAUAUUGGUCAAUGGUCGCAAGACUGAACCAGCCAUGCCGCGUGCAGGAAGACGGUCCUAUGGAUUGUAAACUGCUUUUAUACAGGAAGAAACCCUCCCACGUGUGGGAGCUUGACGGUACUGUAGGAAUAAGGAUCGGCUAACUCCGUGCCAGCAGCCGCGGUAAUACGGAGGAUCCAAGCGUUAUCCGGAAUCAUUGGGUUUAAAGGGUCCGUAGGCGGCCUUAUAAGUCAGUGGUGAAAGCCCAUCGCUCAACGAUGGAACUGCCAUUGAUACUGUAGGGCUUGAAUUAUUGUGAAGUAACUAGAAUAUGUAGUG
rnacentral:rRNA from 1 species